rnacentral:lncRNA from 1 species
GCUUAUAUAAUAUAGCUUUAACAAUCUGUACAUUAAUAAUAAUAAUAUAAUUUUGAAACAUUCUUACACUUGUCCAUUGCAUAAAGAAAAUGCAAAGUUAGGAUACUUGCCUGAUGCGCUGCUUACACUUACGCAACUUAGAUUUAUCAUUUCUAUCACGACCUAUCAUUAAUCAAAUCAUUUUACUGAUUAGUAUAUCAUAAUGUAACACAUAACAAUGCCUAUUGCAGUCAGCACAUAACCUAAUCACCUUAUCACAUAAUUUUAACACCAUUGAAUCACAAAUAAUUCACUUAUCAAGUCAAUCUAUCUAAAUCCAGAACAAUUUCUGAAAUAUGUCGGUCUACCGACAACUUUAUCN